rnacentral:rRNA from 1 species
AUUGAACGCUGGCGGCAGGCCUAACACAUGCAAGUCGAGCGAGCGGCGGACGGGUGAGUAAUGUCUGGGAAACUGCCUGAUGGAGGGGGAUAACUACUGGAAACGGUAGCUAAUACCGCAUACCAUCAGAUGUGCCCAGGUGGGGUUAGCUAGUAGGUGGGGUAACGGCUCACCUAGGCGACGAUCCCUAGCUGGUCUGGGAGGAUGACCAGCCACCCUAGAACUGAGCCACGGUCCAGGCUCCUACGGUAGGCGGCGGUGGAGAGUAUUGCACAAUGGACGCGAUCCUGAUGCGGCCAUGCCGCGUGUGGGAAGGAGGCCUUCGGGUUGUAAAGCACUUUCAGCGGGAAGGCGUUACCCGCAGAAGAAGCACCGGCUAACUCCGUGCCAGCAGCCGCGGUAAUUC